rnacentral:rRNA from 1 species
AUGGCGGAAACCAAGACUGCGCCUGCGGCGGAGGAUGGCAGUAGGAAGAAGACGGUGGUGCUGGUGGCCGUGGACGACAGCGACCACAGCUACCGCGCGCUCGAGUGGGCCGUGCGGCACGCGGCGACGGCCGGCGUGGCGGCCGAGCUCGUCGUCGUCCACGCCAAGCCGCCCGCGUCCUCCGUCGUCACCUUCGGCAGCCCUGCCGCCGCCGGGGACGUGGUGAGGGUGGUGGAUGCGGACCUGCGGAAGAGGGCCGAGGACGUCGUUGACAGGGCGCGACGCCUCUGCGUCGCCAACUCGGUGCAUGGUCUGAUAGAGGUGAUGGAAGGAGAGGCGAGGUACGUGCUCUGCGACGCCGUCGACAAGCACCACGCCGAUCUGCUCGUCGUCGGCAGCCAUGGCUACGGUGCAAUCAAGAGGGCAUUUCUCGGGAGCGUGAGCGACUACUGCGCCCACCAUGCGCACUGCUCCGUCAUGAUAGUCAAGCAGCCCAAGACCAAGAAAUGA